rnacentral:rRNA from 1 species
GACGAGCGCUGGCGGCGUGCUUAACACAUGCAAGUCGAACGGAAAGGCUCCAGCUUGCUGGAGUACUCGAGUGGCGAACGGGUGAGUAACACGUGGGUGAUCUGCCCUGCACUUCGGGAUAAGCCUGGGAAACUGGGUCUAAUACCGGAUAGGACCGCACUUUGGUGUGUGUGGUGGAAAGGUUUUUCUGGUGUGGGAUGAGCUCGCGGCCUAUCAGUUUGUUGGUGGGGUAAUGGCCUACCAAGACGGCGACGGGUAGCCGGCCUGAGAGGGUGGACGGUCACAUUGGGACUGAGAUACGGCCCAGACUCCUACGGGAGGCAGCAGUGGGGAAUAUUGCACAAUGGGGGAAACCCUGAUGCAGCGACGCCGCGUGGGGGAUGAAGGCCUUCGGGUUGUAAACUCCUUUCGCUAGGGACGAAGCUUUUUGUGACGGUACCUGGAGAAGAAGCACCGGCUAACUACGUG